rnacentral:rRNA from 1 species
UCAUCAACUUGGAUUUUGUAGUAGUUGCGAAUGAACACAAAUUUGAUCACUUUGGCAAUCUGUACACAUUGCUGUGUAACAAUUUGUAUACGUUGGCACAGUGCUAUCAAAGCUGCAUGCAAGUGUUUUUUGAAAGGAUACAACAUGGGAUGUGAUAUUCAUGUGUGUGUGCCUGCUUUGUCCACAGCCUGUGCUGUAUGAAUCACAUUUCUUGCAACUGAAAUGCUAAUGGCAUGGUAAAGUUCAUGUGACAUGACACAAGCUUGAGAUUCAUGAUGUGCAAGUACCAUGAGGGAAAUGUGAAAAGGACUUUGGAAAGAGAAUUAAAUAAAGCCUGCAUUUGCUGACAAUGAAAGCAAGUGUGGAUGUUCAUGUAAUUGUUACUGCAUCAAUCAAUGUUCAUCUUGGUUACUGCAUGCUUUAUAUUACAGCUCAGAACAUGAAGUGUGUGUAACAGCUCUGCUUUGAUUUUUCCCACAUGGGAUCAGUUGAAACAUUGUGAGAGCACUCUUCAGUUUCCUUAUGUACCCACCAGCUUUGUCCACUCGCGUGUUGGCACACAUGUAAUGAUGAUGUGUUUAUGCAAGAUACUUCUGUGCUCAACAACAUGUU